CAGCAGCCGCCGCGGUAAUACGGAGGGUGCAAGCGCUAAUCGGAAUUACUGGGCGUAAAGCGCACGCAGGCGGUUUGUUAAGUCAGAUGUGAAAUCCCCGAGCUUAACUUGGGAACUGCAUUUGAAACUGGCAAGCUAGAGUCUUGUAGAGGGGGGUAGAAUUCCAGGUGUAGCGGUGAAAUGCGUAGAGAUCUGGAGGAAUACCGGUGGCGAAGGCGGCCCCCUGGACAAAGACUGACGCUCAGGUGCGAAAGCGUGGGGAGCAAACAGGAUUAGAUACCCCUGUAGUCCCUGUCUCUUAUAC
rnacentral:rRNA from 1 species